rnacentral:piRNA from 1 species
UGGGGGUCAUUCAAGUUGUCUUGGCGUAUGC